rnacentral:rRNA from 1 species
AUUAUUUUAAGCUAUAUAUUAGGAGUAAAUAAAAUUUAUGAAAUUAAAAAAUUUUGGCGGUAUUUUAAGCUUAUUAGAGGAAUUUGCUCUGUGAUGGACACAACGCCUUAAUCUUACUUAAUUUAGUAAUUUAAAUCAGUUUGUAUACCACUAUAUUAAUUAUAUUGAAUAGUUAUAUUUAAUAUUUUUUUUAAAAAAAUAUAUUAAGUCAAGGUGCAUCUAAUAAUUAUGAAUGAAGUGAAUUACAUUAAUUUUAAUGUAAUUUUUUACAUGAAAAAAUUAAUUAGGAUUUAAUAGUAAAAUACUAAUAUUAUGAGUAUUUGAAUCAAGCUCUAAAAUAUGCAC